rnacentral:rRNA from 1 species
GAUGAACGCUGGCGGCGUGCCUAAUACAUGCAAGUCGAGCGAACAGACGAGGAGCUUGCUCCUCUGACGUUAGCGGCGGACGGGUGAGUAACACGUGGAUAACCUACCUAUAAGACUGGGUUAACUUCGGGAAACCGGAGCUAAUACCGGAUAAUAUAUUGAACCGCAUGGUUCAAUAGUGAAAGACGGUUUUGCUGUCACUUAUAGAUGGAUCCGCGCCGCAUUAGCUAGUUGGUAAGGUAACGGCUUACCAAGGCAACGAUGCGUAGCCGACCUGAGAGGGUGAUCGGCCACACUGGAACUGAGACACGGUCCAGACUCCUACGGGAGGCAGCAGUAGGGAAUCUUCCGCAAUGGGCGAAAGCCUGACGGAGCAACGCCGCGUGAGUGAUGAAGGUCUUCGGAUCGUAAAACUCCGUUAUUAGGGAAGAACAAAUGUGUAAGUAACUAUGCACGUCUUGACGGUACCUAAUCAGAAAGCCACGGCUAACUACGUG